AUGCAUCCUCCGCCUCAAAGCAGCGUCCGGUGCGACGCACUCGUGGUGCUUCACCGGCAUCCCGACGCGACGUGCUCCGCUCGCGGUGCUGCAAUAAAGUGCACGGGGCUGCAAUGGAGCACUACGGGAGGCUGCAAUGGAGCGACGCGCGGGGUCGUUGAGCUCCAACGGGGCUGCAAUGAAGCACGCCGGAGCUGCAAUGAAGCGCGCAUGGGGUCGUUGAAACUCGUCAGGGGUUGCAAUGGAGCUCCGGCGUCAUGGCCGCUGCAUCGCAACUCCGGCAGCGUCGGCGACCGCUGCAUCGUAGCUCCGGCGGUCGACGACCGCUGCACUGCAGCUCCGGCGGCGUCGGCGACCGCUGCAUCGCAGCUCCGGCGGUCGACGACCGCUGCACUGCAGCUCCGGGGGCGUCAGCGACCGCUGCAUCGCAGCUCCGGCGGUCGACGACCGCUGCACUGUAGCUUCGGCGGCGUCGGCGACCGCUGCAUCGCAGCUCCGGCGGUCGACGACCGCUGCACUGCAGCUCCGGCGGCGUCGGCGACCCCUGCAUCGCAGCUCCGGCGGCGUCUGCAACAGCUGCAUCGCAGUUAUCCGCCUAGCAUCGCAACUCCGGCGCCGACAAGGCCGCUGCUGCCGUGCGGGGCAUGCUUGGAGCGGACAGUGGGCGUGCGAACGGCUACGAUGUUCACAAUCAGACGGUUGUCAAGGCGGCGGAUAACUGCGAGUUAUCAGCCGGCUUACGCCUAG
rnacentral:rRNA from 1 species